AACAAAUAUCUCCAGCACCACUUUCAUUUUUAACUGCAUAUAUAAAAUAACAACGCGAUGCAGAAAUAGCCUUAUGUACGCAAAACGUGUGACAUCAAGAUAGAUUUACUAUUAUGACGUCAAAGGCACGCGACAAAUUUCAGCACAGGAGCUGCGAAAUUUUGAUUGAAUAACUUCUCAAAUUUCGGCCCUGGUCACGAUGCUAUAUUGACGGGAAAACAAAAAGCAGGACUUUCUUCGAAAAUCGCAUAUCGUUCUCGUCUCGAACGACACGAGGGGCAACUGUGUUAAAAGGAACACCUGUAACUCGAUUCAGUGUUCUGGCCCGAGAUGCCAAUGGCAUCUUUACAGCUCCUGGAAUGAGGACACACACCUAAAUAGACACUUUGUGUACACGAGCGAAGCACCGCACAGAAACGCAUUCCCCAGCCGGAGAGAGAGGCCAUGAUGCCUUGAAGUGUGCAUGUGAAUGGGCACCAUUUUGGCUCUGUGUUCGUGCGUGUGUUUGCACAGGCCCAGCGCGGAGGGGGAUGGGAGAGCGCGUGAGGACCCUGAGGAUUCCUGCUAAUGUUUUAGUCAUUCGCUAGCCCCUGGGCUGGCAGACAGAUUCGCUGCAAAAAGCGCUUGAGCACCCGGCCAUGAUUUACCAUUUAUUUGGACAUCUGCACUGAGCUUUUUGCACCUCCAGCAAUGUCUUGCUUUUCCUCGUAUUUACGCACAAGUGCAAAACCUGACCUCUGCUCGUCGUUGCAUGCUUGUCUUUCGGCUGAUUCACCAGCAAAGUAUCUGCGUGCAGAGUCAUCUCACCUGCCCGGUCGUAGCACUCUAAAUCACGUCCUCUUCAGAUCACACCUAACUCAUGCGGUGAGUGCUCUCUGGCCUCGCUAAAAUCUGCUGCCCUGCUGACACCCAGCACAUCUUUACCAGCUGGGCUCAUCAAUCCUACUGACAGCUGCCUGGUACUGUGCGCAGACCUGGAUGGCAUCCAGAAAAGGAAACCAGUUUCUCUCUCUCUAUCCCCACCUCUCUCCCCGACGUGACAUCCACACCCUGCACAGAAAAUACUCGUCGGCGGCUCCAUUCUGGUAAAUAUGGAGGCAUAUUUGACAUUUGCCCCCAGAAGCGGUAGCAAAGUAAUUUGUUGCACUUUUCUGUCACGCUAGGCCACAGCUGCCAAGAGUCUAAGAGUGGGAGAGGGGAUGGCCGUCAAUGACAGGUCUGAGUGCUGUGGGUGGGACUGCCUGUGUGGCAUGUGUGUUGAAAGGAUGGCCAGAGGCCUUCUGUCUUUUCAAAAAAUAUGGUGUUAUUAGCCCCCGUCUGUCCAUAAGAGACGCACACACACACACACUCGCGCACAAACACAGCAGGCAAGCCAUAAUUAGCAGAGAAGCAGACAGACAGUAUAAUUGGUGGACGCUAUACGUUCACAGCUCUGGUUCAAGUAGGGCUUGCCACAGAGUGUUUUACACCUCAAGAGGACAAAUAGCUUGAGGAAGCAAAGUACGGAUGGAUUUAUUGGUCACCUCUGAGUCUUUUGUUUUGAAAGGCCGACGGUAAAUCAGAAUGUCAGCUUUAAAGAAUGGAACGACUUUCACAACGUUUGACACAUUUGAAGAGUCGAUUUGAAGAUUUAUUUUAUUAUUUUUUUUUAUCUGCCGUGGCUAUUUUUGAAAUGGCAAGUCUUCAAAAGAGCAAAAAAAAAAAAAAAAAAAAAGAAGGGAUGAAACGGGCUCGCACUGGCACCCCGCGCCUGGAACGGCACUUCUGAUGUGUUCUUGGAAAGGCGUCAGUAGCAAAGGCGGUUUUGAGAUCGUUCGCUCUGCACCACACGCACUAGAACAUUCUGACCACAGUCAAAAAAUCAGCGGUAGACGAACACAUGACCGCUAAAUUCCUUCCAGUCUUUUUCGUUUUAACAAUAUCCAUAGUGUUUUUCGGCAGUGAAAAUAUGCA